rnacentral:rRNA from 1 species
UGUCUGGGAAACUGCCUGAUGGAGGGGGAUAACUACUGGAAACGGUAGCUAAUACCGCAUAACGUCGCAAGACCAAAGAGGGGGACCUUCGGGCCUCUUGCCAUCGGAUGUGCCCAGAUGGGAUUAGCUAGUAGGUGGGGUAACGGCUCACCUAGGCGACGAUCCCUAGCUGGUCUGAGAGGAUGACCAGCCACACUGGAACUGAGACACGGUCCAGACUCCUACGGGAGGCAGCAUG